rnacentral:rRNA from 1 species
GUGGAUUAGAUACCCUGGUAGUCCACGCCCUAAACGAUGAUAACUCGAUGUUUGCGAUAUACAGUAAGCGUCCAAGCGAAAGCGUUAAGUUAUCCACCUGGGGAGUACGCCCGCAAGGGUGAAACUCAAAGGAAUUGACGGGGGCCCGCACAAGCGGAGGAGCAUGUGGUUUAAUUCGAUGAUACGCGAGGAACCUUACCCGGGCUUGAAAGUUACUGAAGGAUGCAGAGACGCAUCCGUCCUUCGGGACAGGAAACUAGGUGCUGCACGGUCGUCGCCAGCU